UCCGGGGCAAGGAGCUCUGGUGUCGCAGAGGCCGGUCCCCACGGCCCACGCUGCAUACCACCUGCGCAGGGAGGCGACUCAGGGGGCUGGUCCCUCCGGGACCAUCCCCGGCCCUCAGCACACCUCCCGCAUGCCACGAUCCCGGCCACACUCCUCCCUGGACAUUGAACAAGUCCUGUCCUCUGGUGUGACUUAGACUGCACAAACCACCCUCCCCUGUCACUGCUCAUCUGGUCCCCCUGCGGGGAUUCUCUCCAGGCGUCCAGGCCCAGUUUCUCCAGCAACGCCAGCACUGUGUCCACCACUGGGCCCUGCUCAGCUCGUGGAUACAGACGCAAGGCCUGCCGCCCUCGCCAGCGCCAGCCACUGAGCUUCACGGCCACCUGCAACAGGGAGGACUCUUCUGUGGCUGCCUGAUACAGAAAACAGACAAAGCAAGGGAGAAGUCCUGGGUCCCAACUGCUAGCUGCCUCCAUGGCAACUCCCGAGACACUUUGACAGAAGCGCUGGCUCCUCUGAACAUGGAUUGCAAAUCCCAGGGCUGGAUCUUCUGGGGGUGGGAGGGAAGCCUUGAUCUCUGACUUGACUGGUGCCAACUGCCCUUUGAAACGCCUGCCUGCCGGAGUUUGACUGACCUCACCUCCCUGGCUUCAGACCGAGCCCAAGCAUGGGGGGAAGGGGCUGACCUUAACAGAGAUGGAAAGCAGGCUGGGCUGAGGGUGCCCCCCUCCCCUCAGCGGUGCCCCCACCUCCCUGGAGCCCUCGGGCACCUGUGC